rnacentral:rRNA from 1 species
CCCCUAGAUGUUCUGGGCCGCACGCGCGCUACACUGAACAGUUCAACAAGUCUUAACCUUGGCCGAUAGGUCUGGGUAAUCUUUGAACGCUGUUCGUGAUUGGGAUUGACCUUUGCAAUUAUGGGUCUUCAACGAGGAAUUCCUAGUAAACGCAAGUCAUCAGCUUGCAUUGAUUACGUCCCUGCCCUUUGUACACACCGCCCGUCGCACCUACCGAUUGAAUGGUCCGGUGAAAUCUCGGGACGGCGGCUUGGUCGCUUGCGUCCGACUGCUGAAACUUGAUUAAACCAUAUCAUUUAGAGGAAGGUGAAGUCGUAACA